AGAUGCAUAGAUCUCUUGAUAACAACCAAAUUCCACCACCUCUUGAGCAUUUUCAAAAGUAUUUAGUGGAAUUGAAACCUAAUGCAGAUUUAAAUAACAAUCAGUGGCCCUUGAAUAUGGCAUCAAGUUCUUGCAUGAGAGAUUUGUUCCAUUAUGCUCGCAUUUCUGGGUUACAUGUACUAGAGUGUGUGAUGAAUACAGCUUUGUCUGCCAUAAAAAGGGAGAACAUUGAAGAAGCAACUAAUGUUCUUGUAUUGUUCCCUCGCCUUCGGCCCCUUGUAGCUACUAUGGGUUGGGAUUUGCUAUCUGGUAAAACAAUUUUGAGGCGGAACUUAAUGCAAUUUCUUUGAAUAAGUAAAUCACAUGCGUUUAAGCUGGAAGAAUAUACUCUCUAUGGAAACCGAUCAGAUGAGGUAUCUUGUGUGGAACAUCUCUGUGAUCAAUUAUGUUAUAACCUUGAUAUUGCAACUUUUGUUGCUUGUGUCAAUUCUGGUCAACCAUGGAGUUCAAAACUCUCAUUACGAUUGUCUGGACAUGAAAACAUAGUAUAUGGAAAUGAAGAUGCUAAGUUAGACACGUUCGUUGAAAAUUUUGUGUUGGAAAGGCUUUCAGUUCAAACUCCUCUC